rnacentral:lncRNA from 13 species
AAUAAUGUUAGGAAAUGGCGGAUAUUGCCUUGUGAGACGCGUUUCUCUUAAGGUGUGUACGUGAGUACGUGUGCAUGUGUUAAACUUUUCAUUUAAUCUAUGUUUUUUUAUUUUGCAGUGGACAUUGUCAGACAAGGAAAAAACGGCUGAUAUAAAUAUUGAAUCACAUGAGCUUUCAAUUCGUUGAGAGGCACGAGUAAUUUUCACUGAGUCACAAAGAGUAUCAAUCGCUGAUUUAGAAGUAGUUGGCUUGAACA